GGGCGUUUAGCGCAGUGGUAGCGCGUAUGCUUUGCAAAUGCGAGCCAAUGGCUUACAUUGAGUGUGUAUAAGGUCCAGGGUUCAAUCCCCUGAACGUCCA
rfam:Moniliophthora roreri MCA 2997 sctg_0209_0002, whole genome shotgun sequence.